rnacentral:rRNA from 1 species
CUGGGGCCCGUUCCACGGGUUCCGUGUCGGAGCUAACGCGUUAAGCAUCCCGCCUGGGGAGUACGGCCGCAAGGCUAAAACUCAAAGAAAUUGACGGGGGCCCGCACAAGCGGCGGAGCAUGCGGAUUAAUUCGAUGCAACGCGAAGAACCUUACCUGGGCUUGACAUGUUCCCGACAGCCGUAGAGAUAUGGCCUCCCUUCGGGGCGGGUUCACAGGUGGUGCAUGGUCGUCGUCAGCUCGUGUCGUGAGAUGUUGGGUUAAGUCCCGCAACGAGCGCAACCCUCGCCCUGUGUUGCCAGCACGUCAUGGUGGGAACUCACGGGGGACCGCCGGGGUCAACUCGGAGGAAGGUGGGGAUGACGUCAGAUCAUCAUGCCCCUUACGUCCAGGGCUUCACGCAUGCUACAAUGGCCGGUACAGCGGGAUGCGACAUGGCGACAUGGAGCGGAUCCCUGAAAACCGGUCUCAGUUCGGAUUGGAGUCUGCAACCCGACUCCAUGAAGGCGGAGUCGCUAGUAAUCGCGGAUCAGCAACGCCGCGGUGAAUGCGUUCCCGGGCCUUGUACACACCGCCCGUCAAGUCAUGAAAGUGGGCAGCACCCGAAGCCGGUGGCCUAACCCCUUGUGGGAUGGAGCCGUCUAAGGUGAGGCUCGUGAUUGGGACUAAGUCGUAACAAGGUAGCCGUACCGGAAGGUGCGGCUG